rnacentral:rRNA from 1 species
UGAACGCUGGCGGCAUGCUUACACAUGCAAGUCGGACGGCAGCACAGAGAAGCUUGCUUCUUGGGUGGCGAGUGGCGAACGGGUGAGUAAUAUAUCGGAACGUACCGAGCAGUGGGGGAUAACUAAUCGAAAGAUUAGCUAAUACCGCAUAUUUUCUGAGGAAGAAAGCAGGGGGCCAUUUGGCCUUGCGCUGUUUGAGCGGCCGAUAUCUGAUUAGCUGGUUGGUGGGGUAAAGGCCUACCAAGGCGACGAUCAGUAGCGGGUCUGAGAGGAUGAUCCGCCACACUGGGACUGAGACACGGCCCAGACUCCUACGGGAGGCAGCAGUGGGGAAUUUUGGACAAUGGGCGCAAGCCUGAUCCAGCCAUGCCGCGUGUCUGAAGAAGGCCUUCGGGUUGUAAAGGACUUUUGUCAGGGAAGAAAAGGGCGGGGUUAAUACCCCUGUCUGAUGACGGUACCUGAAGAAUAAGCACCGGCUAACUACGUGCCAGCAGCCGCGGUAAUACGUAGGGUGCGAGCGUUAAUCGGAAUUACUGGGCGUAAAGCAGGCGCAGACGGUUACUUAAGCAGGAUGUGAAAUCCCCGGGCUCAACCUGGGAACUGCGUUCUGAACUGGGUGACUAGAGUGUGUCAGAGGGAGGUAGAAUUCCACGUGUAGCAGUGAAAUGCGUAGAGAUGUGGAGGAAUACCGAUGGCGAAGGCAGCCUCCUGGGAUAACACUGACGUUCAUGCCCGAAAGCGUGGGUAGCAAACAGGAUUAGAUACCCUGGUAGUCCACGCCCUAAACGAUGUCGAUUAGCUGUUGGGCAGCAUGACUGCUUAGUAGCGAAGCUAACGCGUGAAAUCGACCGCCUGGGGUACGGUCGCAAGAUU